GCAAGUCGAACGGUAACAGGAAGAGCUUGCUCUUUGCUGACGAGUGGCGGACGGGUGAGUAACGCGUAGGAAUCUGCCCACGGGUGGGGGAUACCGUCUGGAAACGGACGUUAAUACCGCAUAAUGUUUACGGACCAAAGGUGGCUUUCAUUAGCUAUCGUCUGUGGAUGAGCCUGCGUAAGAUUAGCUUGUUGGUGGGGUAAAGGCCUACCAAGGCGACGAUCUCUAGCUGGUCUGAGAGGAUGAUC
rnacentral:rRNA from 1 species